AUAUAAUGAUAUUAUUUAUUUAUGAAAUAAAUGAAAUAUUGAUUCAUUAUUAUAGCUAUAUUUUAUUAUAUUUAAGAUUAUAAUGAACCCCAUAAAUUAGGAUAAUAAUUUUAGGACCAUGAAGAAUUCAUGUCUCUGAAACCUAAAAUCUAAAAAUUUUAAUCUAAAAUAUUUCUAAUCAGAGGAAUAUUGAGUCAGGAUCAAUAUUUCAGAAAGACUAACACAUUCUAUAUAUGCUUAAUG
rnacentral:lncRNA from 1 species